GGACUACUAGGGUUUCUAAUCCUGUUUGCUCCCCACGCUUUCGCGCCUCAGUGUCAGUUUCAGUCCAGGUAGCCGCCUUCGCCACUGAUGUUCCUUCCGAUCUCUACGCAUUUCACCGCUACACCGGAAAUUCCACUACCCUCUACUGUACUCCAGUCACACAGUCUAAGAUGCAGUUCCUAGGUUAAGCCCAGGGAUUUCACAUCUCACUUGUAUAACCACCUACGCGCCCUUUACGCCCAGUAACUCCGAUUAACGCUUGCACCCUCUGUAUUACCGCGGCUGCUGGCAC
rnacentral:rRNA from 1 species